UACGUAGGGGGCGAGCGUUGUCCGGAUUUAUUGGGCGUAAAGAGCUCGUAGGCGGUUCGGCAAGUCGGGUGUGAAAUUUCGAGGCUCAACCUCGAUACGCCACUCGAUACUGCUGUGACUGGAGUCCGGUAGAGGAGUGCGGAAUUCCUGGUGUAGCGGUGAAAUGCGCAGAUAUCAGGAGGAACACCAACGGCGAAGGCAGCACUCUGGGCCGGUACUGACGCUGAGGAGCGAAAGCUUGGGGAGCGAACGGG
rnacentral:rRNA from 1 species